rnacentral:rRNA from 1 species
GCGCAGCAGGCGAGAAACCUUCGCAAUGCGGGAAACCGCGACGAGGGGACUCCCAGUGCCUACGCUCAGCGUAGGCUGUUCCCGAGCCUAGAAAGCUCGGGGAGUAAGGGCUGGGUAAGACGGGUGCCAGCCGCCGCGGUAAUACCCGCAGCCCGAGUGGUGGCCACUAUUAUUGGGCCUAAAGCGUCCGUAGCCGGCCCGGUAAAUGCCUGGGUAAAUCGUGAGGCCUAACCUCACGAAUUCCGGGUAGACUGCCGGGCUAGGGGACCGGAGGAGGGAGAGGGUACUCCAGGGGUAGGGGUGAAAUCCUGUAAUCCCUGGAGGACCACCGGUGGCGAAGGCGCUCUCCUAGGACGGGUCCGACGGUGAGGGACGAAAGCCAGGGGAGCGAACCGGAUUAGAUA